ACAUGCAAGUCGAACGAUGACGGAGAGCUUGCUCUUCUGAUUAGUGGCGAACGGGUGAGUAACACGUGAGUAACCUGCCCUUGACUCUGGGAUAAGCACUGGAAACGGUGUCUAAUACCGGAUACGAGCCUCCUCCGCAUGGUGAGGGGCUGGAAAGAAUUUCGGUCAAGGAUGGACUCGCGGCCUAUCAGCUAGUUGGUGAGGUAACGGCCCACCAAGGCGACGACGGGUAGCCGGCCUGAGAGGGUGACCGGCCACACUGGGACUGAGACACGGCCCAGACUCCUACGGGAGGCAGCAGUGGGGAAUAUUGCACAAUGGGCGCAAGCCUGAUGCAGCAACGCCGCGUGAGGGACGACGGCCUUCGGGUUGUAAACCUCUUUUAGUAGGGAAGAAGCGAAAGUGACGGUACCUGCAGAAAAAGCACCGGCUAACUACGUGCCAGCAGCCGCGGUAAUACGUAGGGUGCAAGCGUUGUCCGGAAUUAUUGGGCGUAAAGAGCUCGUAGGCGGUUUGUCGCGUCUGCUGUGAAAACCCGAGGCUCAACCUCGGGCCUGCAGUGGGUACGGGCAGACUAGAGUGCGGUAGGGGAGAUUGGAAUUCCUGGUGUAGCGGUGGAAUGCGCAGAUAUCAGGAGGAACACCGAUGGCGAAGGCAGAUCUCUGGGCCGUAACUGACGCUGAGGAGCGAAAGCAUGGGGAGCGAACAGGAUUAGAUACCCCUGGUAGUCCAUGCCGUAAAAC
rnacentral:rRNA from 1 species